GAUCAUCAAGGCGGCGUUGAAGCGGUGAUUGAAUUUGGUCGCUUAACCAGUCAAGGGGAUUGGGGAGGUCAUCGCGGAGCCAGUAGCGAAACCGGCAUUGAGC
rnacentral:ncRNA from 24 species